AUUGAACGCUGGCGGCAUGCCUUACACAUGCAAGUCGAACGGCAGCACGGGAGCAAUCCUGGUGGCGAGUGGCGAACGGGUGAGUAAUACAUCGGAACGUGCCCAGUAGUGGGGGAUAACCCGGCGAAAGCCGGACUAAUACCGCAUACGACCUACGGGUGAAAGCAGGGGAUCGCAAGACCUUGCGCUAUUGGAGCGGCCGAUGUCAGAUUAGCUAGUUGGNGGGGUAAAAGCCUACCAAGGCGACGAUCUGUAGCUGGUCUGAGAGGACGACCAGCCACACUGGGACUGAGACACGGCCCAGACUCCUACGGGAGGCAGCAGUGGGGAAUUUUGGACAAUGGGCGCAAGCCUGAUCCAGCCAUGCCGCGUG
rnacentral:rRNA from 1 species